GGGUCGUUAGCUCAGAUGGUAGAGCAGGGGACUCUUAAUCCCAAGGUCGCUGGUUCGAUCCCAGCACGACCCA
rnacentral:tRNA from 1 species